ensembl:lncRNA
CUUAUAUAGACAGGCGGCGGCGCUCCCCGCUCAGUCGUGCGCCGGCGAUGAUACAGAGAGCAGCGAUGGUGACGGACACGGAGCGAACAACGCGAGCGUCAGGAUAUGGCACCCCCCUGUGCCCCUCUGAUGGCGGCUGAGGACCCCCUGCACCCCCCCAUUCUAAACGCACUUUUCUACCGCCCGGAGCCCGACGAGGACGACGAUGAUGAGCAAGGGUGGGACGGGGACACCCCCGAGACCCCCCCGGCAGAUGGAGACCCUCCCAACACUGGGGAACCCCCUAACAAUGAAGAACCCAGGAGUGAAGAGGUCCGCCCUCGCAGCACCAAGAGAGUGAGUGCCACAUAAGUGGGCAUUUGGGGGCUGGAGGGUGGGGGCAUGAGAUGGAAUCCACCCCCCCCCCCCCCCCAAAAACAACUGUGGGACCCCACAGGGAUGAGCCCCCAACAUCACCAAGAAGCAAGAAGCCGAGCCUUAUAUGGGAUGGGCGGGGGUAGGAGUCAUGGGGCAGUCCCGUGUCUCUUGCAUCACUCAUGACACCAUCAGGAUGACAUCACCCCCUCCCUCUUUCUGUUUUCUUCCCCCUCCCUCCCAAGGUACGGUUCAGCCUUCAGGUCCAGGUCUUCUUCCUCCAGCCCCCCCCAGACCCCGAUGCCCGCCGGGGGCCUUGGGAGACCAUGGCCCGCGACCGCCUGCGCUUUGCCCGCCGCUGUGCUCUGCUGCGCCCCAUCCUGGAGCCCAUCCUGCAGCCCUCGCACCGGGAGCGCAUUUGGGAACGGCUGCAAGGAGGGGAGAGCCUCCAGGACCCCCCCCCCCAAGGAGCCCACUGAUGGAUGACACCCCCCCGCCCCCUCCCCCCCCCCCCCAUGGGACCCCCCCUGCUGAUGAGGAACCCUCUGUCUGAUGGGAAUCCCCAGUGAUGAGGGGCACUCUGCAUGUUUUGGGGGAGGGGGGGGUUGGUGAUAUGGGCCCUCCCUCCCACUGUAAUGUAUUGAUUUUUUUUAUUAUUAUUAUUAUUAUUUAUUUUAUAUGUAUUUUAUUAAACCUGUAAAAUAAACUUUUUUGCUACUA